AAUGAACGUUGGCGGCGUGGAUUAGGCAUGCAAGUCGAACGCUUUAUGUAGCAAUACAUGAAGAGUGGCGUAAGGGAGAGUAAUACACAGUUAGCUACCCUUGGGUCUGGGAUAGCGGCGGGAAACUGCCAGUAAUACCAGAUGAUGUCUUCGGACCAAAGGUGUAAUUUCGCCCGAGGAGGUGACUGUGUCCUAUCAGCUAGUUGGCGGGUACGG
rnacentral:rRNA from 1 species